CUUCCUGCCAUUGUCCUGGACUCUGGUUCGGCUCCCCUGUGGGCUGAACUGAUUUAUACUUUUGCCUGUGCUGUGGCGGGUGGCUGCCUCCAGCUCUAGGCUUUGUUGAUAUAUUGGGAGCAGUUUGUUCACUAAUGGAAUACUCCAGGUCUCUGGAAAAACUGUUUGGGGACCACAUCACAAUAGUUAAGUUUCCUAUUAUGAACACAUUAAAAAGCUGUCAUUAAGCAGGCUACAGUGACUCAUACAUUGGCUAGCCACAGAUAUGACUGGUGGAGCUCAUCGACAACAGCAGGAGUAGAUUAGAGUGGAUCAAAUGUUGCUUUCCAGGUUAAAUAGGUUUCAAACGUACAAUCUGUCUUGAUCACUUGUUUUGUUUAAGCAAGAUUAAUUCAAUCCCAGCUAACAGUGAAAGAAGUUGGCUGCUCACCAGCUGCGCCUGCUGUCGAAGAAGUGGACGAGGAAGAGUUUCUCUGCGGACCUGAACUGCAUCCGCUCUCCGGCUCUGAGAACGUCCAACGGUGGCUGGGGAAGCUCCACCCCGCUGUGCCGACACAUUGUCCUCCGUGACCUGGGGUCCAUGAUCUGUGAAGACCAAGAAAAUGGAGCGGGACACUGAGGGAGGCAGACUUCUCGCAGGAAAACGUGUGGCCAAAAAUUGGCACCUGGAGUUUGGGACUUUUUUUUUUGUUUGUUUUUUUUUUAAUUUAAAUGGCUGGCUGAAAACUUGCAAAAAUACUAAUUUGUCUUGAUAAGUACAUUACUUUUGGUUUGUUUGUGUUAUUUGAACAGCCCACUAACAUCACCAAGUCAGUGCCAUUUCUGUGAAGAGUUAAAUAUCUGCUUCUGCCAUCAACUCCACAUCUAAGCUGUAAGUUGUCCACGUCUUGCUUGGGGGGAAAUCUUUCUGUAAAAGGUACUGAUAACUGAGAAGUCCAAAAAAACUAUUAAUUCCAAAUGGCUCAAUUCCUACUGAGCUAGAUCAAAUAAUUCAAAAUGCAAAAUUAGCUUUGUCUCCACUCGGAAGUAAAAGAAAUAGAGAAGAUCUAAACAGUUCUAUAAUUACUCCAUUUCUAUUUCAUUCUUACAGUAGAUGUGAUGUUUUAAUGAAUGUUAUUUUUUUUGGAUGGGCAUAUUUGAAAGUGUUUUCUGCAUUAGAAAAAUCUGACCCUGAGCUUUUUUUUCCCUAAUUCUCAUUUCACUCGUUUCCAUUCUAGCUGAUCAAGUAAAGCUAAAGACAUUAUUUGUAGCCCUGCUACAAGUUGACUACUUGACUUACAUUUUAUGUCUAAUUGCAGUGACUAAAAACACCCCAGUUUGUUAGACAUUCAGACUAAGGAGUUAGCAAAUAUUAUACCAAUUAAAUACAGAGUACUGUCUUUAUUUUUAGACAGUACUGUGUGAGCAGUGUAAGUCUUACAUGACACUGACAUUGUGCCAGCCAAGUUAUUUAGCUAAGGCUUUUGACAAUGUAAGAAAUAAAUUACAUGCUUAACUAUAAGUGGACUUGAUUUUUCAUGUUGCUAACUUUAAAGCUUGUAACUAAAACUGAAGGAUGCUGUUUCUAUACAAACUAACAGUUCCUGUAAAGUGACUUUCUUUUUAAGUGACACUGAUCAAAAAGAUCUUUGUUUCUGACUUGCAAACUGUAUUUUAAAAUCAUAUUAAUGAACUUAAGCUCUUUAAAGAGACUAUUCUGCCCAGAUUUGCAAGGAGCAAAUUGUUGUUAUAUAUGAUGAUGUAAUGUAUUUGCAUUAGACUGCCUCUGACCUUAAACCCUUCAGCACAGUCUCUUUCCACCCUGUCAUUGGUAACAGGGGAUAGAUUUUAGAAUGCAU